rnacentral:rRNA from 1 species
CCUACGGGAGGCAGCAGUGAGGACUAUUCCACAAUGGGCGGAAGCCUGAACCAGCCAAGUAGCGUGCAUGAUGACGGCCCUACGGGUUGUAAACUGCUUUUAUACGGGAAUAACGCGCCUUCCGUGUAGGUCUUUGCAUGUACCGUAUGAAUCCGGACCGGCUAAUUCCGUGCCAGCAGCCGCGGUAAUACGGAAGGUACGUGCGUUAUCCGGAUUUAUUGGGUUUAAAGUGAGGGUAGGCCGCAUGUCAAGCGUGCUGGGAAAUGUACGGGCUCAACCCGGGCCUUGAAGCGCGACCGGGGGUGCUUGAGUGCGCGGAAGGCAGGCGGAACUCGUUGUGUAGCGGUGAAAUGCGUAGAUAUGACGAAGAACCCCGAUUGCGAAGGCAGCUGGCUGCAGCGGAACUGACGCUGAUGCUCGAAAGCGCGGGUAUCGAACAGGAUUAGAUACCCCUGUAGUC